UGAAUACGAGAUGCUACGGCGUCGAAGCAGUCUAUGUCAUACUUCCAAGAAAAGCUUGCACUGUCAUAAACAAAUAAUGCCUGUACCAUAACCGACACAGGUGGGUAGGUAGAGUAUACUAAGGGGCGCGAGAUAACUCUCUCUAACGAACUCGGCAAAAUGACUCCGUAACUUCGGGAGAAGGAGUGCCUUAUUUAUAAGGUUGCAAUAACAAGACCCAAGCAACUGUUUAUCAAAAACACAGGUCUCCGCUAAGUCGUAAGACGAUGUAUGGGGGCUGACGCCUGCCCAGUGCCAGAAGGUUAAAGAAGUUGGUUAGCAUUAGCGAAGCUGAUGACUGAAGCCCUGGUGAACGGCGGCCGUAACAAUAACGGUCCUAAGGUAGCGAAAUUCCUUGUCGGGUAAGUUCCGACCCGCACGAAAGGCGUAAUGAUUUGGGUACUGUCUCAGAGAGGGACUCGGUGAAAUAGACUUGUCUGUGAAGAUGCGGACUACCUGCACCUGGACAGAAAGACCCUAUGAAGCUUUACUGUAACCUGAAAUUGAAAUUGGACUUUAUUUGCGCAGUAUAGGUGGGAGGCUUUGAAGAUAUUCUUGCGGGAAUGUUGGAGCCAUCAGUGAGAUACCACUCUUGUAAUGUUAGAUUUCUAACUUUGUAUCAUUAUCUGGUCAAAGAACAGUUUCAGGCGGGCAGUUUGACUGGGGCGUCGCCUCCUAAACGGUAACGGAGGCGCACAAAGGUUUCCUCUGAACGGGUAGAAAUCGUAUCUAGAGUGUAAAGGCAUAAGGAAGCUUGACUGUGAGACCUACAAGUCGAGCAGGGACGAAAGUCGGUCUUAGUGAUCUGACGGUGCUGAGUGGAAAGGCCGUCACUCAACGGAUAAAAGUUACUCUAAGGAUAACAGGCUGAUCUCCCCCAAGAGUUCACAUCGACGGGGAGGUUUGGCACCUCGAUGUCGGCUCAUCGCAUCCUGGGGCGGUAGUACGUCCCAAGGGUUGGGCUGUUCGCCCAUGAAAGCGGUACGCGAGCUGGGUUCAGAACGUCGUGAGACAGUUCGGUCCAUAUCCGGUGUAGGCGUUAGAAUAUUGAGAGGAGCCUUCUCUAGUACGAGAGGACCGAGAAGGACACACCUCUGGUGUACCAGUUAUCGUGCCAACGGUAAACGCUGGGUAGCUAUGUGUGGAGCGGAUAACCGCUGAAAGCAUCUAAGUGGGAAGCCCACCUCAAGAUAAGUAUUCUCAU
rnacentral:rRNA from 1 species